GUGCUCACUUUGGCAGCACACAUUCUAAACUUGGAACAAUGCAAAGAUGAGCUUGGUCCCUGCACCAAGGACGACAUUCACAUUUGCAUCAUAGUCCACAUUGUU